CACAAAGAUUCCUGUCACAUGGUAGAAGAUGAAAGUGAUCAAAUAGAGCUGGACCGACUCCAGAGCCAGUCAGAAUCUAGUGUUGCCAUUUCGGCAGGAGCAGGCACUGUAGUAGCUCUUGUGCUGGUCUAGGGAGCGACAAGACCUCCAACUACAAAAACCUGUAAGGUAAUAUUUCAAUCUCAAUUCAUCUCAGUGUGGUUCAAUGAAAAACGAUGUUACUGUCACUGACCACAUAGUUCCAUGCUCUUUUACAUUGCUGUUCACAAAUAUCACCACCAAGAGUCAAAAUCUAAUGACAACAACAAACUCCAAACCAACAUGGCGACUGUGGAGUCAGUAGCUCUGGCACAGAAGAGGAAACGGAGGCAGCGUUGUAGGAGGCGGUGGUUGGUGAGGAGGUGAACUAUAUGGCCACUGGAGGACAGAGAGUUUCCACCGUUGUUCUGUCUUCUUCCUGUCUCACUAGAGCUACGUAUCGCAACACUGCCCCCCAUGGUUUCAGGUGGCACUGCUCUGUUUGGUCCAUAUCUGUGAGCUUAGUAGAAACGUGCAGAAAUACAGAGGAAAUGAAGGCAGAGCACGGACAGAAGGAUCCGUCCGGAUCCGAGCAUAAUGUGGAGCGACUUUUGUCCAGCUGUCGAGAACAUGAUGUGAGCCAAGGUUGAGGUGCCUGUCCCACCGACUGUUUCAGGACUGCCCUGUGUUGUAUUGCAAGUAGUAGCUCUAGAAGUAGCAGUGCUUACAUGAAAUGGUUUACCUUCUGUAUAGUGCAUCUUUGAUAAGUAUGCAGAAGAUGAAUGACAUUGUUCAGUCCAGUGAGAGCAGAGUGAAAAGCCCCAGCCAGGCAUUCUAGGUAAAUCGAGGGGUGAUUGAGAUGAUACGAUAAGAUUGCUGUUUUUGAUUUCCUCCCACGCCGUCUGGGAGAACGGCCCUCUCUCAUGGUGGACGUAUUGCAGGGCACUCGCCCGUCAGGAGCGGGCCAGCGUCUCGCUGUGCAGCAUGUCGCUCAGAUGUUGUCAGGAGAACAUCGGCACUCUGGCCUUUGUUCACUCACAGAAACCCUCGAAUGUGAAAUGACUUUCCUGGGAAGGGAGGAGGAUUUCACCUUCAGUUUCUGUUCUAAUCCCCACUUUGGUAAUUAAGGACGAACGUUUCAAUCACCUGCAUCAAUAACAGGAAAACGUAUGUUUGUCCACAUGUCCCUGCACACAGGUAUGGUAGGCACUAUACAGUCGGCCUGGACGAUGAAUCCAUUUUCUCCAUUCAUUUGAGUAAAAAAAAUCACAAUUUUUCACGGCGUGCCAGUUUCCCUCCAGGGCUUCCGUAGGUGCCCUUGCUGCUCAGCCGUUUCCUCCAUAGAUGGACAUGACUAGUGCUAACAACAAGGCACAGACUCACCUCCCUCCUCAGCAGAAUGUGGCGAAACGGCAGCUCUGCUUCUAUCAACGAGUGACUUGGACCCGGAAGACGCUCCUAUACACCGCCACUCUCUGUCCGAUGCGUUCCGACGUAGUCUCCAGCGUCAGAACCUCAGAGGAGCAGGAGCUGCUCAGCUUUCUGACUCGCAACAGCAGUGACGGUUCGGAAAGCGAAGGAUUAUUUCGAUGUGGAUAAGAGCAUCACAACACUCGCUCACACCCAUUUAAAUGUGGAGAAUAAACCAAACGCUCCUCGUGUCACUGGCGAGUGCUGAAGUAGAGAAGUUCAUCAUCAUAGGAGUGAUUUAAGGUAUAAAGGACAAAAGAUCUUGAUUCUGGUACGUGACUAUGUGUCAGGUGAAGUCAGGUGAAGUCAGGUGAGCGGUGGAACUUGAAGGAGCAGAUAUCGAUGACGGAACAGUCUGACAGCUUAAAUAACUUGAGUUAUUUUUAAAGGAGUUUCAAAUGUUUGGCUCUUGUUAAUGUGCAGUAUGAUUCAGUAUGUUCACAUUCCUGCCUCAAUUCGAGUUUAUAUCUGCUUAAUUUAGUCCUAAAGGGUUUUGAGAUGCUAUUUCUCGACCAUAUCUCCCCGGCCUACUGUGCAGUGCAAAAGGGGGCGUGGCUGAGAGGAAAUGCACAGCGAUGGGGGAGUCCUCUUCUCAAUAUCUGCACAGUAGUCGAGCUGAGGUUUGUUGAAGAGGAAGCCUGAGUGAUUCCAUCGCUGAGCUGCAGCAGCACCAGACAGCUGCAUGCUUCGGUGGUGUUGAGCAGCACCGGCCACUGCUCUCCUGCAGAGGUCCGAGCAGCCUCUUGCUUGACUCCAGAGGGUUUUCAUCAUAUCAUAGCAGGCAGAGCGAGGGCCCUCAUUAACCCCCCCCCCCCCCUCACACACACACACACCAUCCAACCAGCUGGAGCCCACAUGCGUUAAUUAGCGCCUCUUAACAAGGAGCAGAUGAAGCUAUCCGCCCUCACAGAGCCAGAAGACAGACUGACAAAGAAGCUGCUGCUAACUCACACAAGGCGCGGGUUGAUUCACCCAGCAAACAUUCAGUGACACAGAUGCGCUUCAUGACAUGGGGCUCCCACACAUGCCCUGACUCCCAGGUCUGGCUCCUUCACACUUGGCUCACGGGGUUUGUCACAGCUCAUGAGAUGAAGAGGAGAAAUGGCUUCACGUUCUUCUACCGUUCACAUGCAAGGAGGCCGCUCCUGCUGCCAAGGCCUCACUGAAAAGCCAGUGAAACUGGACACUAGCAGAGUCGUCAGAGUGCAGAUCGGGGACCUGAGAGCAACAUUGGGCCAUAACCUUCAGGUGGUCUAGGUGAGAACACAAACCACGACUUUGCUUUUGUCCUGGAAAUUGUCUUGAGGACAAAAGGAAAAGCCGUGGAGUUUGAGACGAGACGAAACUCUCACAUUCAUGUUUAAGGCUAUGCGGACCUUGUCUGGGACUUUGAUCUUCUCAAGAUCUUUUCUGAACCAACCAAGCUAUUGAGAACAUUUUGUGGGUCACGUUUGUUUGAUACAGAUGGUUGAGGGACACAUUCUAAACGUCAGGUUUUGAGACCCGAUGGGCUCAUCCUCAAAACGCCAUGGCGGUUGAGAAGAUCCAACUUAAUGUUCGGAAAUCCCUCUUUCUUUACGUCCCCUGACUUCACUGCUCCUCCUGCCUGUCUCUCACACAUGCCUGUCUCACCUCAGCUAACUUCCCUUCCUCCUCCAUGAAGCAGUCCUCACUGCUGAGGCAGAAAGCUCCUGCUGACCUUCACUGUUGUGGAGACAAAGCCUUCGUCGGCUCUUUCUGGAGCCACAGAACUCUGGUCUAAUCAAACUUCUGCCACGUUUGAACAGGGCUUGCGGAGGUGUGGAGACAACGCUGCCUCCGUUUCAUGAUCCAUGCUUCUUCCACAGUCUGGAGUUUGUUGUUGUCCUAAACGUUUGACUCUGGGCUGCUCCCCCUGGUGGGUGUAUUGGUGAACAAUGUAAAGAAGCAUGUGGUCAGUGACGGCAGCAUGUCUAAAAAGGACUGGUGCCUUUUCAUACCUAUGAGGAGCAUUAACAGGCCUCAACACUGUCACUUAACCCUGUCCUGCCUGGUUCCUCUUCUAUUCCAUGGCUCAUAAACAUGUCUUCCUGAAACAUUCAGAUCAACCCAGUUGGCGUCUUCUGAUAACCAGCACCAGUUUAUCCCUGACAGGAGGAACUGUUGUGCAGUUGUUUUGUGACUGGAUCCUCACUGUAACUAGACUCCGAGGACUCAGACUCUCGGCACAAACCUGAGUCAUGGCGCUCACUGCUACGGACUCUGCAUUAGCUGUGAUUCCACGGAACUGUGUGCGUACUCGGAAGAAGUGAGUUUCUAUGACUGCAGUAGAAGUGGUGCUCCCACGGACACCAUACAUUGCAAUACUGCAAGUUCAGCAAUAUAUUCUAAGAGUUAUUAACAAGUACAAUCAUGGGGGGGCGACAAUGCACUUCAAUAUUAUGUGAACAAGUUUAUUGUUAUGACCUCAGUCCAGUUAGACUUUCACUUAUAUUUCACAUAGUGUUAAACACGUCACAAAUGCAGCAGAAUAUCCAAGUAUCUGUGAUCAAUGUUUGUCACCCUGUUAUUCUUUUGUUGUUACAACAGAAUGUGUCCACUCAGGUUUGCAGAUUUCUUUACUGGACGACUGGACAAAAGAAAAGACAAAGUCACAGUGGGUCGGGGUCUCGACCUACACAUCCAAAUAUACAGUCACAGUGCCACAGUUCAUGGCACAUUUACACUUCUUAAUAUCCUUGCUUUCAUUGAACAUAUUAUGGCUCAUUCGUCCUUGCUAUGUUAAGAUUUUUUUCAGUCACAUUUUGUAGUCAUUGCCACCUUUCUUUUCUUUCUUCUUUCCUCAGUCACAGUUUAUAAUGUGGCCCUUUAGGAAAUGUAACUGCCCACCUCUGCAAUAGUGUAGAGCUGUGUAGAGUGAUACUGUAUUCCCAGAUUUAGGUUCAAAUUACAAUGGAUAAAUACAAACAAAAGUGCUGUGUGAAACCAUUGUAUUGUGAGGCGUCUCAUUCUUGUUCCUUCUCCUAAAUAACCAUCCAGUUGGUUUCAAUUCACGAGCAGCACAGAGAUCCACACCUCACACGCAGGUGAGCAAAAAUAGACUUAAUCUCAUGAUCUCCGACAGACUCAUGCAGACAGCGUGAGAAGCCGCGUGUCUUCCUCUAAUGAGUGUUUGAGCCGUGAGGAGGGGGCGCACACAUCACCCCCCUGGCCUCCUCACGCAGCGUCUGCAACGUCGAUGAGAACUGAAGCUGGAGUUGAGAAUGAAAUAUAGUGAAUGAAAUCAUGAAAGUGAAAUGAAGUCAUGAAAUACAGCGAGUGCUGCGUGCGCUUCGGCGUCAGAGGGGUCACAUGACCAGGGCAAUUGGUGCAGAGACUCCCUCCUUCACAGACACAGUCUCUGAUGAGUCAGCUUCGGUCCACUUCUCUGUUGAGAAGAAUUCAACAAGACCAAACGUUUGCCCAAAAGGAUCUCAUGUCAUGUCCACCGAAGAAAACCAUGUAAAAACAGCACCUUCACCGAGACACACCAAAGUCUCAGCAUCAGCUUCCACUGUGAGUCAGAACCCAUGUCAAGGUAGUGGCUUACAGUCCCUGUUACAGUCCUCGGGAGGCCAUCCAACGCGCCCGCUACACGGGCAGCAGAGCGUUGUCUACGACACGUCUAUGCGUCAGCAUGCAACGUGGAGGCUGCCUUUGGCCUCAGUAUAGGACGCACAAGUCCACAAUGUGAUGCCAUGGGAGUCAGGAUGGGUCUGGUCAUGUCCCACACUCUGGGCUCAGCAGAGCUGAAAGUGACUGGAGUUCAGCGAGCAACAAACUUAACUCAUCACCAGGUUUCUUUCUGGAUUUUUCUGUGAAAAACAGGCGAAACCCACCGUAAUCCUGUCUACCUCCGCCAAGUGUUACGUUACAAUGUUUCCACUUCAUUUUUGUACGUUUGAUCAGGUGGGAUUUCAUCUUUAAAAAGCGACCAUUUUUCUGGAGGCGUGGCUGUGUGGCCCAGCCGUUCACAUGCAGUGGAACCUUGGGUAUAGUUCCUCAUGUCGUCAGGAACUUGGUAGUGGCUAGGCGGGCCUCGGCUCGUACAUAUACUCCAGUAACAUGACAAUGAGUGCUUGCGAUACCCGCCAUUCUCAUCCCGACUCCAGGCACAGCAACUGUGAGUGGCGUAGGACGGGUUAGGUUCGGGGUUAGAGUUCGAAAUACAGAUGUCGGACACAUGGUCCGGCAAUAGCUCGGGCCCCGCACCAACCCCAGCAGGGGAGCACAUUCCUCCCUGGGGUGUAAUUUGGUGCCACUUCUAUUUUGUUUGGUUGUUUGUCCUCUCCACCCUUCUUCUAUCCUUUUCUCUGUCUUCCAAUUCCUUCUUCCAUCUUCCAUCUCUCACCUCCCUUUCCAUUCUUGUCGGCUUCAAAAUCUUCCCUUUAUUUCAGGUGGAUAGAGGUACCAAUAGUGGUUUAUCAUCUUCUCUCCCAUUGUCCUUACUUUUACAGUUAAAUUUCGAGUGGAGAAGAUGGGCAACUUAGGGUGGACUGUGUCGAGUCGAGGCAACUUAGGACAGACAGAGAGGUGGCGUUUCCAGGAGGUAGGUAUUUAUGGGUGGUAAGUAUUUAAUGUACAGGUUAGGGUUAGGGUCAGAUGCAGGGCUCCGCUUCACUACGGUCAAUAGGUGACCGUAGUCACCUAAGUAAGUGUGAAGACACAGGGACGACCUUGGAAGUUUGUCAGUCACUAUCAUCUGUACUGCCGUCCCGACCUCCGUCUGCCAUUGAUUUACUUUGUUUUCCUUCUCUUUGUCGUACUCAUAUAAAUAGACACAGACUUUUAUUUUCUGUUUUUGGCAUCAUUUUCCCUGACCCAUAAGGAGUCCAGACACGGCUUCAAUAACAGCACUGAUGAAAAGCAGCGUCCAGGAAGAAAAGCAGUGGCAGGCAGCAGAUGUGAGCCGGACAGUUUGGUGUGAAUCAAUAAAAACCAUCAAACACCUGAGGGGUCCUCAAUUUCCGCACAAACCACUCCACCCCCUGGACAGGAGAGGAACAAUGGCAGUGGCAUCAAUACCUGCAAUUGGAUGAGGAUAGAGCCGAGCCGACAGUGAGCAAAAGCAGACAAGUGGCUCGCCUCUCCAGGCGGCAAAUGGCUGGCCAAUUGUCUGCAUCAAUUCUGGUCGGUGGGAGACGGAGGACAGGGAUGGGCAGAGGGGCUGUUAGAACGGAGAGUUUGGGGGAAAGGUGAAUGAGAGGGAAAACAAAACAGGGAGAAGGUGUUUUAAAUGACGCACAAAUUCAGAGCAAUUUCCUCCUCUGUGGAAGCCCAGCUCCCGCUGCCUUGCUGAUGGAGGUGCGGAACAAAGAGGCUGGUGCAGGAGCAGGAGGAGCCGCGUGCAACCUCUGCCCGUCACCUUGCCGCUCUCAGCACA